AAAUGUAUGGUGCCAAUUGUUACAAUAACUGACCAUAGCUUUGAUCAGAGGAAGUUGGCCUUAUUGUAAAGAUGAAGCUAUGGCAUAAAUGCAGCAUGGAUCCACCAGCCCUGGACAUUACUGAAUCUGUUCUCUCAGCCAUGUGGCAAUCCUUAACGUUAGAUGCAGUCCUGGAAGGAAAAUGUCUAAGAAGCAAGAAAUAGAAUAUAGAAUAUGAGCCACAGAACAUGGAAUACGACUGAAGCAUACUAUCCCAUCUUCCAUCUAUUAUGCAGCAGUCACAAAAAGAUGUGUCAAAAUCUGUUUCAAGAAACCCUGCCUCUGCCUUCUGAGUCUCCUCCAAGGUGCCUGCAUUCCUCAUGCCCUCUCCAAGAGAAUAUACCUGUUAAGAAAUUGCCAAAGCACCAGAUAGAGCAAGCAGUGAACAGCAAUGAACACUAGACUGCACUUGCAGUGAUUGCAGCACAAGAAGUGGGAUGAAACAAGAUCAUAACCUAAUGAAAACAGGCUUUGAUUGCUAAGAUUGCUAAGAGCUCUGGGGAAUAGUUCCCUGCAUCUGUAAUUCCAUCAAAAGAAAUCAGGUCGUACUGUCUAGGAACAACGGUGCAAUAUCAUUGCAUGCCAGAGUAGGGACAGAUAAAUGAUGGUGAAAUGGCAAAGGUAUUAGAUACACAAAUCCACAUAAUAUAAUAAUUAAAAAAUCAAAACCAGAGAGGCCAAUAACAUUUAUUUAUUUUAAAACCCAGAUAAUGAAAUCUGUAACCACAAUAAAUGUGGUUACAAUUAUGAUCA
rnacentral:lncRNA from 14 species